AUACAAAAACAAAAACAAAAAAACCUAAAACUAAUUCCUGUCUAUUGUGGGAUGAUGCUACAUGCAAAUCAUCAACUCACUGUUCAUCUGCAGUACCAAACCCAAGCAUAUGCCUUCCCAGUGAUCCAUGAUUAUUCAAAAUAUAUCACCCCAACAAUCAAUAUGAGAAAAA